AUUGAACGCUGGCGGCAGGCCUAACACAUGCAAGUCGAACGGUAACAGGAAACAGCUUGCUGUUUCGCUGACGAGUGGCGGACGGGUGAGUAAUGUCUGGGAAACUGCCUGAUGGAGGGGGAUAACUACUGGAAACGGUAGCUAACACCGCAUAACGUCGCAAGACCAAAGAGGGGGACCUUCGGGCCUCUUGCCAUCGGAUGUGCCCAGAUGGGAUUAGCUUGUUGGUGGGGUAACGGCUCACCAAGGCGACGCUCCCUAGCUGGUCUGAGAGGAUGACCAGCCACACUGGAACUGGGCGACGGUCCAGACUCCUACGGGAGGCAGCAGUGGGGAAUAUUGCACAAUGGGCGCAAGCCUGAUGCAGCCAUGCCGCGUGUAUGAAGAAGGCCUUCGGGUUGUAAAGUACUUUCAGCGGGGAGGAAGGGAGUAAAGUUAAUACCUUUACUCAUUGACGUUACCCGCAGAAGAAGCACCGGCUAACUCCGUGCCAGCAGCCGCCGUAA
rnacentral:rRNA from 1 species